rnacentral:rRNA from 1 species
GACGAACGCUGGCGGCGUGCCUAACACAUGCAAGUCGAACGAAGUGGCGAACGGGUGAGUAAUGCGCAAUCAACCUGCCCUUCAGAGGGGGACAAUAGUUGGAAACGACUGCUAAUACCGCAUACUGAAGGAGGGGAUUGUGUCUGAAUAGCUAGUUGGUGGGGUAACGGCCCACCAAGGCGAUGAUCAGUAGCCGGUCUGAGAGGAUGGACGGGCACAUUGGGACUGAGACACGGCCCAGACUCCUACGGGAGGCAGCAGUGGGGAAUCUUCCGAAAUGGACGAGAGUCUGACGGAGCAACGCCGCGUGAGUGAUGACGGCCUUCGGGUUGUAAAGCUCUGUUAAUCGGGACGCGGUACCGGAAUAGAAAGCCACGGCUAACUACGUGCCAGCAGCCGCGGUAAUAC